GGCAGGCCUAACACAUGCAAGUCGAACGGUAACAGGAAGAAGCUUGCUUCUUUGCUGACGAGUGGCGGACGGGUGAGUAAUGUCUGGGAAACUGCCUGAUGGAGGGGGAUAACUACUGGAAACGGUAGCUAAUACCGCAUAACGUCGCAAGACCAAAGAGGGGGACCUUCGGGCCUCUUGCCAUCGGAUGUGCCCAGAUGGGAUUAGCUAGUAGGUGGGGUAAAGGCUCACCUAGGCGACGAUCCCUAGCUGGUCUGAGAGGAUGACCAGCCACACUGGAACUGAGACACGGUCCAGACUCCUACGGGAGGCAGCAGUGGGGAAUAUUGCACAAUGGGCGCAAGCCUGAUGCAGCCAUGCCGCGUGUAUGAAGAAGGCCUUCGGGUUGUAAAGUACUUUCAGCGGGGAGGAAGGGAGUAAAGUUAAUACCUUUGCUCAUUGACGUUACCCGCAGAAGAAGCACCGGCUAACUCCGUGCCAGCAGCCGCGGUAAUACGGAGGGUGCAAGCGUUAAUCGGAAUUACUGGGCGUAAAGCGCACGCAGGCGGUUUGUUAAGUCAGAUGUGAAAUCCCCGGGCUCAACCUGGGAACUGCAUCUGAUACUGGCAAGCUUGAGUCUCGUAGAGGGGGGUAGAAUUCCAGGUGUAGCGGUGAAAUGCGUAGAGAUCUGGAGGAAUACCGGUGGCGAAGGCGGCCCCCUGGACGAAGACUGACGCUCAGGUGCGAAAGCGUGGGGAGCAAACAGGAUUAGAUACCCUGGUAGUCCACGCCGUAAACGAUGUCGACUUGGAGGUUGUGCCCUUGAGGCGUGGCUUCCGGAGCUAACGCGUUAAGUCGACCGCCUGGGGAGUACGGCCGCAAGGUUAAAACUCAAAUGAAUUGACGGGGGCCCGCACAAGCGGUGGAGCAUGUGGUUUAAUUCGAUGCAACGCGAAGAACCUUACCUGGUCUUGACAUCCACAGAACCUUGUAGAGAUACGAGGGUGCCUUCGGGAACUGUGAGACAGGUGCUGCAUGGCUGUCGUCAGCUCGUGUUGUGAAAUGUUGGGUUAAGUCCCGCAACGAGCGCAACCCUUAUCCUUUGUUGCCAGCGGUCCGGCCGGGAACUCAAAGGAGACUGCCAGUGAUAAACUGGAGGAAGGUGGGGAUGACGUCAAAUCAUCAUGGCCCUUACGACCAGGGCUACACACGUGCUACAAUGGCGCAUACAAAGAGAAGCGACCUCGCGAGAGCAAGCGGACCUCAUAAAGUGCGUCGUAGUCCGGAUUGGAGUCUGCAACUCGACUCCAUGAAGUCGGAAUCGCUAGUAAUCGUGGAUCAGAAUGCCACGGUGAAUACGUUCCCGGGCCUUGUACACACCGCCCGUCACACCAUGGGAGUGGGUUGCAAAAGAAGUAGGUAGCUUAACCUUCGGGAGGGCGCUUACCACUUUGUGAUUCAUGACUGGGG
rnacentral:rRNA from 1 species